GAUGAACGCUAGCUACAGGCUUAACACAUGCAAGUCGAGGGGCAGCACGGAGAUAGCUUGCUAUCUUGGGUGGCGACCGGCGCACGGGUGAGUAACGCGUAUCCAACCUGCCCAUUACUCUGGGAUAGCCUUGCGAAAGUAAGAUUAAUACCGGAUGUUGUUAAAAACCCGCAUGAGUUUUUAACCAAAGAUUUAUUGGUAAUGGAUGGGGAUGCGUGACAUUAGGUAGUUGGUGAGGUAACGGCUCACCAAGCCUACGAUGUCUAGGGGUUCUGAGAGGAAGGUCCCCCAGACUGGAACUGGGACACGGUCCAGACUCCGACGGGAGGCAGCAGGGAGGAAUAUUGGUCAAUGGACGAGAUUCUGAACCAGCCAAGUAGCGUGCAGGACGACGGCCCUCUGGGUUGUAAACUGCUUUUAGUUGGGAAUAAAAAGAGGGACGUGUCCCUAAUUGUAUGUACCAUCAGAAAAAGGACCGGCUAAUUCCGUGCCAGCCGCCGCAGUAAAAC
rnacentral:rRNA from 1 species